GGACCAUUUGGAUAAUGAAAGUGACCCAAACUCUCCCACAGACCACAUUUAGAGAACAUAGUGGUGAAGAGUCAAUCUGGACAACCAGUGCGGGCUGUUCUUUCAUCUGAGCUGCCAGGCUGAAGCAACAGCUGAGAAGAGAAGUCUCCUAGGAGGUAAAACACUACCAAAUAGCUUGGCUAAUUCUGCCACUUCAAAAGCUUUAAAAACUUCCUUACCUGAGGGAACACUGGAUUUUAUAAGUAAUCUAGUUUUAGGAAGUGUGGCUCUGUGAGAAAGGGCCUCAUUAUGCCAUGUGCUGAGUAGGAGGCAAAGCUCCUGUCUAGC
rnacentral:lncRNA from 1 species